UGAAAGGUAUUCUUCAAACCUGUGAUGCAAUGGAGGCGCCGGUCCCUUCGGUCACCUCAAAUGCUUAGGCAGGGGUGACCUACUUCAUUUUUUU
rnacentral:ribozyme from 1 species